rnacentral:rRNA from 1 species
AACAGGAUUAGAUACCCUGGUAGUCCACGCCGUAAACGAUGUCGACUUGGAGGUUGUUCCCUUGAGGAGUGGCUUCCGGAGCUAACGCGUUAAGUCGACCGCCUGGGGAGUACGGCCGCAAGGUUAAAACUCAAAUGAAUUGACGGGGGCCCGCACAAGCGGUGGAGCAUGUGGUUUAAUUCGAUGCAACGCGAAGAACCUUACCUACUCUUGACAUCCACGGAAUUCGGCAGAGAUGCCUUAGUGCCUUCGGGAACCGUGAGACAGGUGCUGCAUGGCUGUCGUCAGCUCGUGUUGUGAAAUGUUGGGUUAAGUCCCGCAACGAGCGCAACCCUUAUCCUUUGUUGCCAGCGAUUCGGUCGGGAACUCAAAGGAGACUGCCGGUGAUAAACCGGAGGAAGGUGGGGAUGACGUCAAGUCAUCAUGGCCCUUACGAGUAGGGCUACACACGUGCUACAAUGGCGCAUACAAAGAGAAGCGACCUCGCGAGAGCAAGCGGACCUCAUAAAGUGCGUCGUAGUCCGGAUCGGAGUCUGCAACUCGACUCCGUGAAGUCGGAAUCGCUAGUAAUCGUGGAUCAGAAUGCCACGGUGAAUACGUUCCCGGGCCUUGUACACACCGCCCGUCACACCAUGGGAGUGGGUUGCAAAAGAAGUAGGUAGCUUAACCUUCGGGAGGGCGCUUACCACUUUGUGAUUCAUGACUGGGGUGAAGUCGUAACAAGGUA